UUCAUGGUUUUGAUUAUUGCUUGUCUGAGAAGAUUCUAAUUCUUGUUCCUUGACUAAUGUUUUGUUUUUGUCUCAGGUUGACCAAGCCUCUCUCAUGUGAGAUAUCUGAAGGAACUUUUCAAUAGCUUUUUGGACUCUGGAUUCUUGUUUUUGUUCCACUGGCAACCAGAUUAGGGAUUGUUCUCACAGCUUCAUGCGAACCCUGUCCACCCUCCUCCAAGCCUCUCAGGACUCAUCUGCUACGGCAGUGCUGCAUAGCCACCUCUUACCAGGAUCACAACCUCUCUCCCUGGCGGACUUAACUCUACCCAAUUCUCCCUGCUACUGCGGUUUCCUGCACCAGAUUUCCUAAUAAAAGUUUUACUAAACGUU